AUUGAACGCUGGCGGCAUGCCUUACACAUGCAAGUCGAACGGUAACGGGCCUUCGGGUGCCGACGAGUGGCGAACGGGUGAGUAAUGUAUCGGAACGUACCUUUCAGUGGGGGAUAACGUAGCGAAAGUUACGCUAAUACCGCAUAUUCUGUGCGCAGGAAAGCAGGGGAUCGCAAGACCUUGCGCUGAUUGAGCGGCCGAUAUCAGAUUAGCUAGUUGGUGAGGUAAAGGCUCACCAAGGCGACGAUCUGUAGCGGGUCUGAGAGGAUGAUCCGCCACACUGGAACUGAGACACGGUCCAGACUCCUACGGGAGCAGCAGUGGGGAAUUUUGGACAAGUGGGGGCAACCCUGAUCCAGCCAUGCCGCGUGCGGGACGAAGGCC
rnacentral:rRNA from 1 species